CUUAAAAGGAUCUAUUAACACAAGUCAAGAAAUUGCCCAAGAAAUGGCUUAGCCUGUACAUAUAUUACGUACUAUAUUACAGAAGCAUCUUUAGCAAGGAUGAGGCUCUUCUUUUCUCGGCACUGUGU